AUGAUGCAGUUCCACAACACACAGCCACAUUCACCCACAGACCGAGGUACAGAACGAGAGACAACCUCUGCCCCCCCAGCAGCUGGCCAGCUUUGCAGCCCCAGUCUUGAGCCCCCAACGACCCUCCCCCCACCCACCCCCAUCCCCUUCCCAAUUGAAGGAGCGGAAAGAGAAGAGAGAAGAGUGAGCAGAGAGAUUGAGAGAUUGAGAGAGAGAGAGAGAGAUAGACGGAGAUCUCUGGAGCAGACCUCAAGGCUCUGAUCCCCUGAGACACAGUGCCUACCAAUGCCUGUGCGAUGCAGAGCCUCGCGAAGAACUGAAAACCAAGGAGAGGGCACUUGCAGAUGACGUUGCUCCCAUGGCAGCGUCUGUGCCCGUGGGCUUCUCUCUGUGGAAAAUGGUGGAGGCUGCUUCUGCCCCAGGAGGGAGAAACACCGACUCCCUGGCUUUGGCGCCAGAAGCCUGGAUCGGCUGCCAGGUGACAUAUUUCUAUCUGGUUCUCGUCUUGGGGGGCCCUGGCCGGGCAGCCCCCCAACACUUCUCCUGCCCUGAAACACGGCUCUAGCCAACC
rnacentral:sRNA from 1 species